rnacentral:rRNA from 1 species
UAAUACGGAGGGUCCGAGCGUUAUCCGGAAUUAUUGGGUUUAAAGGGUCCGUAGGCGGGCCAUUAAGUCAGGGGUGAAAGUCUGCGGCUCAACCGUAGAAUUGCCUUUGAUACUGGUGGUCUUGAGUUAUGGUGAAGUGGCUGGAAUAUGUAGUGUAGCGGUGAAAUGCAUAGAUAUUACAUAGAACACCGAUUGCGAAGGCAGGUCACUAACCAUAUACUGACGCUGAUGGACGAAAGCGUGGGAAGCAAACAGGAUUAGAUACCCUGGUAGUCCACGCCGUAAACGAUGGGUACUAGGUGUUGCGGGUAUUGACCCCUGCAGUGCCAAAGCUAACGCAUUAAGUACCCCGCCUGGGGAGUACGGCCGCAAGGCUA